GGUGUGAAUCGGCAUUGAUCGGCAAGGACCGCCAAGAUCCCCAAUGGACUCAUAAUCCGUCGGCCGUGGGUUCGAGUCCCACCCGCCCCA
rnacentral:tRNA from 1 species